rnacentral:rRNA from 1 species
UUCUUUAAGAAAGUAAGAUCCCUGAGAGAUGAUCAGGUAGAUAGGUCAGGAGUGGAAGUACAGUGAUGUAUGGAGCGGACUGAUACUAAUCGAUCGAGGACUUAACCAA